rnacentral:rRNA from 1 species
ACGGGUGAGUAAUGCUUAGGAAUCUGCCUAUUAGUGGGGGACAACAUUCCGAAAGGAAUGCUAAUACCGCAUACGCCCUACGGGGGAAAGCAGGGGAUCUUCGGACCUUGCGCUAAUAGAUGAGCCUAAGUCAGAUUAGCUAGUUGGUGGGGUAAAGGCCUACCAAGGCGACGAUCUGUAGCGGGUCUGAGAGGAUGAUCCGCCACACUGGGACUGAGACACGGCCCAGACUCCUACGGGAGGCAGCAGUGGGGAAUAUUGGACAAUGGGCGCAAGCCUGAUCCAGCCAUGCCGCGUGUGUGAAGAAGGCCUUUUGGUUGUAAAGCACUUUAAGCGAGGAGGAGGCUACUUGGAUUAAUACUCUGAGAUAGUGGACGUUACUCGCAGAAUAAGCACCGGCUAACUCUGUGCCAGCAGCCGCGGUAAUACAGAGGGUGCGAGCGUUAAUCGGAUUUACUGGGCGUAAAGCGUGCGUAGGCGGCUUUUUAAGUCGGAUGUGAAACCCCUGAGCUUAACUUAGGAAUUGCAUUCGAUACUGGGAAGCUAGAGUAUGGGAGAGGAUGGUAGAAUUCCAGGUGUAGCGGU